AGCCUCACUCGGUUGCCCAGACUGGAGUGCAGUGGCAGAAUCUCAGUUCACUGCAACCUCUGCCCACGGGUUCAAGAGAGCUUCCUGCCUCAGCCUCCCGAGUAGCUGAGAUUACAGGCACUUAAGUAUUUUAUUUAAAAGCCACACUUUUAAGAAGACCCAAGCUCAAGCCCUGGCUGCACCAUGUACCAUCCUUGCAACCCUGAGCAAGUUGUUUCGCCACCCCAAAUCUGGUUCUUUUCUUGCUAGAUAGAAGCCCUGAUAUUGCCCAUUUCACACAGUGGUCCUGAGACUCCAAUGAGAGAUAAUGUGGAAGCAUCUUGUAGACUAAAAUGUUAAUAAAAAUGUUAACUAAAAUGUUAAAUCAAAAAGAAAUGCGGGAAAUAAAUGUUGUAUUUGUCUAAAAGAAACCUGUGGUUUUCAAAGCACACCAUUGCAUGGGUUGGAGGAUUGGGCAAAA
rnacentral:lncRNA from 1 species